AUCUUAUUGGAGACCUUUCUUGGAGUGUGGAGAUCUGAAACCAACAGCAAUUCACAAAAGAAGGGGCAUCCAAAACGUUUGGAGCUGUUUAGAAGCUUGGGCAGCAGCAAUUUGAGGCUCAUAAGGACUCCUAGGCGGCUAAGGUUUUGGAUACCUCUAUGGAGGUGGUGCCUAGGAUUUUUUUUCAAGAGAGGUGGCGGCCACCAGAAAGGGG
rnacentral:lncRNA from 1 species